UACGUAGGGUGCAAGCGUUGUCCGGAAUUAUUGGGCGUAAAGAGCUCGUAGGCGGUUUGUCGCGUCUGCUGUGAAAACUCGGGGCUUAACUCCGGGCCUGCAGUGGGUACGGGCAGACUAGAGUGCGGUAGGGGAGACUGGAAUUCCUGGUGUAGCGGUGAAAUGCGCAGAUAUCCGGAGGAACACCGGUGGCGAAGGCGGCUUCCUGGACCGACACUGACGCUGAGGCGCGAAAGCUAGGGGAGCAAACGGG
rnacentral:rRNA from 1 species